rnacentral:rRNA from 1 species
CGACCGGCGCACGGGUGAGUAACGCGUAUGCAACCUGCCCGAUACCGGGGUAUAGCCCAUGGAAACGUGGAUUAACACCCCAUAGUACUUUUAUCCUGCAUGGGAUGUGAGUUAAAUGUUCAAGGUAUCGGAUGGGCAUGCGUCCUAUUAGUUAGUUGGCGGGGUAACAGCCCACCAAGACGAUGAUAGGUAGGGGCUCUGAGAGGAAGGUCCCCCACAUUGGAACUGAGACACGGUCCAA